rnacentral:snRNA from 1 species
AUACUUAAAAAGUAUUUAACCAAUUGGAAUGAUACAUAGAAGAUUAGCAUGGCCCUUACGCAAGAAUGACACACACAAAUUGAGAAAUGACCCAAAUUUUU